AUACGGAGGACGCGAGCGUUAUCCGGAUUCAUUGGGUUUAAAGGGUGCGCAGGCGGCCGUGCAAGUCAGCGGUGAAAGCCCGGGGCUCAACCCCGGAAGUGCCGUUGAUACUGCAUGGCUGGAAUGCGGUCGAGGCGGGCGGAACGUGGCGUGUAGCGGUGAAAUGCGUAGAUAUGGCACAGAAAGCCGAUAGCGGAGGCAGCUCGCCAGGCCUGCAUUGACGCUCGGGCACGAAAGCGUGGGGAUCGAACAGGAUUAGAUACCCUGGUAGUCCACGCCGUAAACGAUGGGCGCUCGUCGUCGGCGGCAGACAGUCGGCGGCCAAGCGAAAGCGAUAAGCGCCCCACCUGGGGAGUACGGUCGCAAGGCUGAAACUUAAAGGAAUUGACGGGG
rnacentral:rRNA from 1 species